rnacentral:rRNA from 1 species
UACGGAGGGAGCUAGCGUUGUUCGGAAAUACUGGGCGUAAAGCGCACGUAGGCGGCGCAGCAAGUCAGGGGUGAAAUCCCGGGGCUCAACCCCGGAACUGCCCUUGAAACUGCAGUGCUAGAAUCUUGGAGAGGUCAGUGGAAUUCCGAGUGUAGAGGUGAAAUUCGUAGAUAUUCGGAAGAACACCAGUGGCGAAGGCGACUGACUGGACAAGUAUUGACGCUGAGGUGCGAAAGCGUGGGGAGCAAACAGG